rnacentral:rRNA from 1 species
CCCUAUGGGGUGCAGCAGAAACGCGGUAGCCUGGCAGGGACAGGGGUGAGAGCAUGGAGCGCCAGGUACUGGUUGUCGAGGACGACGUUGAAAGCCUGCGUCUCUACAGUGACAUGCUUAGGCGGGGAGGAUAUGCGCCGGUAGCAGCCAGCACGGGGUGGGAGGGCAUCGACCUUGCUGUCAAGGAGCAUCCGGGACUGAUCCUGCUGGACCUGCGUCUCCCGGAUAUCACCGGGCUGACCGUGCUCGAGACCCUGCAUGCCGCCCUAUCCACCAAGAGCAUUCCCAUCAUUGUCGUGUCGGCCAUCAGCAAGGAGGACGACGUUAUUAAGGCCAUGCAGAUGGGAGC